rnacentral:rRNA from 1 species
UGGGGAAUAUUGCACAAUGGGCGCAAGCCUGAUGCAGCAACGCCGCGUGAACGAUGAAGGUCUUCGGAUCGUAAAGUUCUGUUGCAGGGGAAGAUAAUGACGGUACCCUGUGAGGAAGCCCCGGCUAACUACGUGCCAGCAGCCGCGGUAAUACGUAGGGUGCGAGCGUUGUCCGGAAUUACUGGGCGUAAAGGGCUCGUAGGUGGUUUGUCGCGUCGUCUGUGAAAUUCCGGGGCUUAACUCCGGGCGUGCAGGCGAUACGGGCAUAACUUGAGUACUGUAGGGGUAACUGGAAUUCCUGGUGUAGCGGUGAAAUGCGCAGAUAUCAGGAGGAACACCGAUGGCGAAGGCAGGUUACUGGGCAGUUACUGACGCUGAGGAGCGAAAGCAUGGGUAGCGAACAGG